rnacentral:rRNA from 1 species
GACGAACGCUGGCGGCGUGCUUAACACAUGCAAGUCGAACGGAAAGGCCCUGCUUUUGUGGGGUGCUCGAGUGGCGAACGGGUGAGUAACACGUGAGUAACCUGCCCUUGACUUUGGGAUAACUUCAGUAAACUGGGGCUAAUACCGGAUAGGAGCUCCUGCUGCAUGGUGGGGGUUGGAAAGUGUCGGCGGUUGGGGAUGGACUCGCGGCUUAUCAGCUUGUUGGUGGGGUAGUGGCUUACCAAGGCUUUGACGGGUAGCCGGCCUGAGAGGGUGACCGGCCACAUUGGGACUGAGAUACGGCCCAGACUCCUACGGGAGGCAGCAGUGGGGAAUAUUGCACAAUGGGCGGAAGCCUGAUGCAGCAACGCCGCGUGCGGGAUGACGGCCUUCGGGUUGUAAACCGCUUUCGCCUGUGACGAAGCGUGAGUGACGGUAAUGGGUAAAGAAGCACCGGCUAACUACGUG